AGUCACUGCAGUAGCUUUGUCUUUCAUACGGUGAAGAUGAGAUUUCCUCAUGUUUAGGAAAUUUUUCAAAAAAUUGCUGACAUAGCUGGAGUUAAUUGCCAAGUAUCCUGUAGGGGCAGUACAAAUCAGAAUUUGCAUCACAAGGAAAAUAGGUGUACACCGUUGGCGGGAGUUCGUGUUCAUCUGACAACUGCAGUACUUGGCAGACAAGUGCAGUAAACUUGGUGGCAAGCAGCAGAGAAAAUAUCCUGCAAUGUUCUGCUGGAAGAAGCAAAAUAGAACGGAAUCAAUCAUCUUUUCAAUGAGAGUUUGAGUGAGAAAGCAGCAAGUUAUCAGACAUAGGGACAGAAGGGGAAGAUGAAGAUAGCCUUCUUGCUCCAUAAGAAGAGGGAGGUGAAGCGGCAAAGAAGACAGGAAGGCUGAUUCAGGAAGAUAACACAGCAGUUUACAACAUGGAGGACAAGAAAUCCUUGAAGGUAAGAAGUAGUUCUUGCAUGACCAGUGGCUAUCACCAUACAUCCGCUACUGCACAGGAAGCCAAAUUAUUGUGCUUGCCUGUCCUUGGAAGCAGUGGUAGAUCUUUUGGCCCACGAGCUGCUUCAUAUUCCACCAGCAUCUCAAAAUAUACAGGAGACAUUAAAAAAAAGAUAAUAUCUACAUGUUUGGCUACCAGAACUCCAGUUUGCAUUGGAUCGCUCUUGGAAUCACAAGCUUUGCAUUUGGAAGUACUACAUAAUGAGAUAUAUCCUUUGUAUGUAAUAUACUUAUCUCAUGUGGCCAUUCAUCUGUCUCCUCAAAGUGUCCACAGAUCCUCCUGUUGUUAUUUUCAAGUGAAGAGGAAGCUCACCCCUUCUCAACUGCUAAGCUAGAAAACAAACGGUAAUAGAAGAGAGUGAACCAAGUUAUGCUACUGUUCAGUGUUAGCUACAGUUUGUUUUCAUAAUAGUUUAACUUGGCAGUAAUUGUAUUGGAGAAGCUGGUUUUUGAGUUACAAGAAUCACAAAAUUAGUGCAUUUUUUUGUGUGAUUAGUGACUUUAGAAACAAUUGGCAGGAAAACCUUGCUGGCUUUAACCAUUCCUUUCAGUCAUGGUUAUUGCGUAAGCCUAGUUUGGCUCUUCAGCAGUCUAAUGUUUUCCAACCAUUCAGUCACAAAUUUGAAUAACAGAUUCCAGCAAAAUUAUAAACCAUUUGAAAUGUUCACUGAACCUGCAAAUGCAGUGAGUAAAAUUACUGGUAGAUAUGAUAGACUAAUGAGAAGAAUUAAUGUGGGUCAGAC
ensembl:lncRNA